AGGACGAACGCUGGCGGCGUGCUUAACACAUGCAAGUCGAACGAGAUCCAUUCAGUAGCAAUACUGAUGAAGAUCUAGUGGCGAACGGGUGCGUAACACGUGAGGAACUUGUCCCGGUCUCUGGGAUAACAGUUGGAAACGACUGCUAAUACCGGAUGACGUCGGAACUUCGCAUGGAGUACUGACGAAAGGGUUACUGGAUCGGGAGAGCCUCGCGGCCUAUCAGCUUGUUGGUGGGGUAAUGGCCUACCAAGGCAUCGACGGGUAGCUGGUCUGAGAGGAUGAUCAGCCACACUGGGACUGAGACACGGCCCAGACUCCUACGGGAGGCAGCAGUGGGGAAUCUUGCACAAUGGGCGAAAGCCUGAUGCAGCAACGCCGCGUGCGGAAGAAGGCCCGUCGGUUGUAAACCGCUUUACAGAAGGAACGAAACUGACGUACUUUACGAGAAGAAGGUGCGGCCAACUACGUGCCAGCAGCCGACGUAAUC
rnacentral:rRNA from 1 species